AUGGAUGAAUUGAGCAAAGAACGGCAGAAGUGGAGAUACAAAGCUUUCCCUUACUACGAUGAUUUGCAUGCAAUUUAUGAUGGUAAAACAGCGGAGGGGAAGGGUUGUAAGAGGACAACUGAUCAGGUUGAAGAGAAGUUCAGUCCGGCUACAGAUUUGUCACGAGGGGAAACCUUCACCCAACAGGUUCUAAAUGCCGCUGGGCGUAAUUCACCUAGUCCAACAUUACCUGCUCCAGGCUUUGAAGAUCAACAUUAUGAGUGGAGUAAAGGCAUAUAUGGUGACGAUGUUGAAGUAUUUCUUGUUAAAAGAGCAGAACGUAUGGAAAAUAAUAGUAAUCAUUUUCUGACGGAAGACAUGAACACACUUCCUGACCCACCACCUAUGAAAAAGGCUAGGACUUCUAAAGGCAAUGAUGAAGGUAAGCCUAAGAGAGGCAAAGACACAUCGAUUGAAGAUCUGGUUGCUGUUAGAAAUGAGGAGCUUAAAACUUAUGUGGAUGUGAAGACGAAGCAAAUUGAGAGCUAUAGAGAAAUGAAAAUGGUGCAGAUGGAAAAAAAGAUCCUGACAAAGAUCCUUAUUGCAUUGCCAAUUGCAUUGUCAAGCUUAAGAGCAUACCAGAUCUCUCAGCAAGUGAACAUCUGA
rnacentral:rRNA from 1 species